AGGUGACACAGAAGAAACUAAACUCUCUUUUUUUUCCCUUCUUCUUCUUCUUCUUCUUCCUCUUCUUCUUCUCUCCUGUU
rnacentral:ribozyme from 1 species